GUUUCUCUUUUACUUGAGAAAAGAUUUUUGCACACGUUGAAUUCUAUAUUUUAUAUAGCUGAGAUUUUAUUGUAAAUUUUAACUUAAGGUAUUCUAAAGUGAGUUUGUUUUGUGUUGUUAAUGUGGUUGUUGCUAACCAAUUAGUAAUUGAAUCUCAGCAGUUUAUCAAUAAAAUGAUAAAUGAAAGUAUUUAUGAUUGGUAUUUGGCUUUAAAAGAUACAUCUUAUGAUGCAAUAUAUUGUAGAUAUUGUUUGGAUUUUAAAGCUGAACUGUUCUGCUGCAAGAAAGCUUUAGCCA